rnacentral:rRNA from 1 species
AGUGAACGCUGGCGGUAGGCCUAACACAUGCAAGUCGAACGGCAGCACAGUAAGAGCUUGCUCUUACGGGUGGCGAGUGGCGGACGGGUGAGGAAUACAUCGGAAUCUACUUUUUCGUGGGGGAUAACGUAGGGAAACUUACGCUAAUACCGCAUACGACCUACGGGUGAAAGCAGGGGAUCUUCGGACCUUGCGCGAUUGAAUGAGCCGAUGUCGGAUUAGCUAGUUGGCGGGGUAAAGGCCCACCAAGGCGACGAUCCGUAGCUGGUCUGAGAGGAUGAUCAGCCACACUGGAACUGAGACACGGUCCAGACUCCUACGGGAGGCAGCAGUGGGGAAUAUUGGACAAUGGGCGGAAGCCUGAUCCAGCCAUACCGCGUGGGUGAAGAAGGCCUUCGGGUUGUAAAGCCCUUUUGUUGGGAAAGAAAAGCAGCAGGUUAAUACCCCGCCGUUCUGACGGUACCCAAAGAAUAAGCACCGGCUAACUUCGUG